GUUGAACGCUGGCGGCAGGCCUAACACAUGCAAGUCGAACGAGUGGCGGACGGGUGAGUAAUGUCUGGGAAACUGCCCGAUGGAGGGGGAUAACUACUGGAAACGGUAGCAAAUACCGCAUACCAUCGGAUGUGCCCAGAUGGGAUUAGCUAGUAGGUGGGGUAACGGCGCACCUAGGCGAAGAUCCCUAGCUGGUCUGAGAGGAUGACCAGCCACACUGGAACUGAGACACGGUCCAGACUCCUACGGGAGGCAGCAGGUGGGAAUAUGGCACAAGGGGCGCAAGCCUGAUGCAGCAAUGCCGCGUGUAUGAAGAAGGCCUUCGGGUUGUAAAGUACUUUCAGCGAGGAGGCGUUACUCGCAGAAGAAGCAUCGGCUAAAUCCGUGCCAGCAGCCGCGGUAAUUC
rnacentral:rRNA from 1 species